AACGAACGCUGGCGGCAUGCCUAACACAUGCAAGUCGAACGAGACCUUCGGGUCUAGUGGCGCACGGGUGCGUAACGCGUGGGAACCUGCCCUUAGGUUCGGAAUAACUCCCCGAAAGGGGUGCUAAUACCGGAUAAUGUCUUCGGACCAAAGAUUUAUCGCCUUUGGAUGGGCCCGCGUUGGAUUAGCUAGUUGGUAGGGUAAAAGCCUACCAAGGCGACGAUCCAUAGCUGGUCUGAGAGGAUGAUCAGCCACACUGGGACUGAGACACGGCCCAGACUCCUACGGGAGGCAGCAGUGGGGAAUAUUGGACAAUGGGCGAAGGCCUGAUGCAGCAAUGCCGGGUGAGUGAUGAAGGCCGUAGGGUUGUAAAGCUCUUUUAACCGGGAUGAUAAUGACAGUACCGGGAGAAUAAGCUCCGGCUAACUCCGUG
rnacentral:rRNA from 1 species